rnacentral:rRNA from 1 species
CGGCAAACGGGUGUGGAACACGUACAGAACCUUCCUUUAAGCGGGAGAUAGCCCGGAGAAAUCCGGAUUAAUACCCCAUAGUAUUAUUGAUUGGCAUCAAUUGGUAAUUAAAGAUUUAUCACUUAAAGAUGGCUGUGCGGCUGAUUAGGUAGUUGGUGUAGGUAAAGGCUCACCAAGCCAGCGAUCAGUAACUGGUGUGAGAGCACGACCAGUCACACGGGCACUGAGACACGGGCCCGACUCCUACGGGAGGCAGCAGUAAGGAAUAUUGGUCAAUGGAGGCAACUCUGAACCAGCCAUGCCGCGUGAAGGAUGAAGGUCCUCUGGAUUGUAAACUUCUUUUAUGUGGGAAGAAAUACAUUCUUUAUAGAGUGUUUGACGGUACCAUAGGAAUAAGCACCGGCUAACUCCGUGCCAGCAGCCGCGGUAAUACGGAGGGUGCAAGCGUUAUCCGGAUUCACUGGGUUUAAAGGGUGCGUAGGUGGGAAUGUAAGUCAGUGGUGAAGUCUCUGAGCUUAACUCAGAAACUGCCAUUGAUACUAUGUUUCUUGAAUUUUCUGGAGGUCAGCGGAAUAUGUCAUGUAGCGGUGAAAUGCUUAGAUAUGACAUAGAACACCAAUUGCGAAGGCAGCUGACUACAGGGAUAUUGACACUGAGGCACGAAAGCGUGGGGAUCAAACAGGAUUAGAUACCCUGGUAGUCCACGCCCUAAACGAUGGAUACUCGACAUUUGUGAUAGACAAUAAGUGUC